GAAUGUUCAUGUUGCGAACAUGACUGGGUGCCCUGCAUGCCCAAGAACCUGCACGAGGCUACCAACUAAGCUAUCACGGUUGAGGCUUUUUAGGCUGCCUGUAUUUGAGGUGACCGUCAACUUGAGAAGAAGAAG